rnacentral:lncRNA from 1 species
CGGUACUCGGUGUUUGAUCCCUAGAAUCCCUUUAUCCCUUGGAUAGAUUCCCCAGUGGAGUUGCUUAUGCGGCAGAUUUUUAUCUGUGCAAUAACUCCUGUCCCCAGCUGGAAUGACUGAUGUUCAUCCCCCGCAGGGAUACCCUUUAUCCCUUGGAUAGAUUCCCCAGUGGAGUUGCUUAUGCGGCAGAUUUUUAUCUGUGCAAUAACUCCUGUCCCCAGCUGGAAU